rnacentral:rRNA from 1 species
UACGUAGGGUGCAAGCGUUGCCCGGAUUUAUUGGGCGUAAAGGGCGCGUAGGCGGCUCGGCACGUCCGUUGUGAAAUCGCCCCGGCUCAACUGGGCGGGGUCGGCGGAUACGGCCGAGCUGGAGCAAGCUAGGGGGUAAUGGAAUUCCCGGUGUAGUGGUGGAAUGCGUAGAUAUCGGGAGGAACACCAGUGGCGAAGGCGGUUACCUGGAGCUUUGCUGACGCUGAUGCGCGAAAGCGUGGGGAGCGAUCCGG